UGGGAAAUGAAGGUAUCUGGUGAAGAGAC
rnacentral:piRNA from 1 species